CCUACAGGAGGCAGCAGUGGGGAAUAUUGCACAAUGGGGGAAACCCUGAUGCAGCGACGCCGCGUGAGUGAAGAAGUAAUUCUUUAUGUAAAGCUCUAUCAGCAGGGGAGAAAAUGACGGUACCUGAGUCAGAAGCCCCGGCUAACUACGUGCCAGCAGCCGCGGUAAUACGUAGGGGGCAAGCGUUAUCCGGAUUUACUGGGUGUAAAGGGAGCGUAGACGGCAGUGCAAGUCUGGAGUGAAAGGCGGGGGCUCAACCUCCGGACUGCUCUGGAAACUGUACGGCUGGAGUGCAGGAGCGGUAAGUGGAAUUUAUAGUGUAGCGGUGAAAUGCGUAGAUAUCAUGAGGAACACCAGUGGCGAAGGCGGCUUACUAGACUAUAACUGACGUUGAGGCUCGAAAGCGUGGGGAGCAAACAGGAUUAGAUACCCUGGUAGUC
rnacentral:rRNA from 1 species